UACAGAGGUCCCGAGCGUUGUUCGGAAUUACUGGGCGUAAAGCGUGUGUAGGCGGCUUGUUAAGUCUGAUGUGAAAGCCCUGGGCUCAACCUGGGAACUGCAUUGGAAACUGGCUUACUAGAGUGCGGUAGAGGGGUGUGGAAUUCCCGGUGUAGCAGUGAAAUGCGUAGAUAUUGGGAGGAACACCAGUGGCGAAGGCGGCUACCUGGACCGGAACUGACGCUGAGGCGCGAAAGCUAGGGUAGCAAACGGG
rnacentral:rRNA from 1 species